GACGAACGCUGGCGGCGCGCCUAACACAUGCAAGUCGAACGAGCGAGAGGAGGUUUACUUUCUCAAGCGAGUGGCGAACGGGUGAGUAACGCGUGAGGAACCUGCCUCAAAGAGGGGGACAACAGUUGGAAACGACUGCUAAUACCGCAUAAGCCCACGACCCGGCAUCGGGUAGAGGGAAAAGGAGCAAUCCGCUUUGAGAUGGCCUCGCGUCCGAUUAGCUAGUUGGUGAGGUAAUGGCCCACCAAGGCGACGAUCGGUAGCCGGACUGAGAGGUUGAACGGCCACAUUGGGACUGAGACACGGCCCAGACUCAUACGGGAGGGAGCAGUGGGGAAUAUUGCACAAUGGGGGAAACCCUGAUGCAGCGACGCCGCGUGGAGGAAGAAGGUCUUCGGAUUGUAAACUCCUGUUGUUGAGGAAGAUAAUGACGGUACUCAACAAGGAAGUGACGGCUAACUACGUG
rnacentral:rRNA from 1 species